UACGUAGGGUGCGAGCGUUGUUCGGAAUGACUGGGCGUAAAGGGCGCGUAGGCGGCUCGUGAAGUCGGGUGUGAAAGCCCGGGGCUCAACCCCGGAACGGCAUCCGAUACUGGCGGGCUUGAGACCGGGAGAGGAGGGUGGAAUACCCAGUGUAGAGGUGAAAUUCGUAGAUAUUAGGUGGAACACCGGUGGCGAAGGCGGCUACCUGGACCAGCACUGACACUGAGGCACGAAAGCGUGGGGAGCAAACAGG
rnacentral:rRNA from 1 species